rnacentral:rRNA from 1 species
GAACGCUGGCGGCGUGCCUAAUACAUGCAAGUCGAGCGAACAGACGAGGAGCUUGCUCCUCUGACGUUAGCGGCGGACGGGUGAGUAACACGUGGAUAACCUACCUAUAAGACUGGGAUAACUUCGGGAAACCGGAGCUAAUACCGGAUAAUAUAUUGAACCGCAUGGUUCAAUAGUGAAAGACGGUUUUGCUGUCACUUAUAGAUGGAUCCGCGCCGCAUUAGCUAGUUGGUAAGGUAACGGCUUACCAAGGCAACGAUGCGUAGCCGACCUGAGAGGGUGAUCGGCCACACUGGAACUGAGACACGGUCCAGACUCCUACGGGAGGCAGCAGUAGGGGAUCUUCCGCAAUGGGCGAAAGCCUGACGGAGCAACGCCGCGUGAGUGAUGAAGGUCUUCGGAUCGUAAAACUCUGUUAUUAGGGAAGAACAAAUGUGUAAGUAACUAUGCACGUCUUGACGGUACCUAAUCAGAAAGCCACGGCUAACUACGUG